CACAAACCCAACAGGUAGGAAUUGACUUGAGAAAUCAAUUUACGUUUGCUCUGUCUUUUGAUUAAUCCUCUUUGAUCUAUCUGUUGUUGUCAGAAUAAUUAAUCUUUUGGCAGGUAAGCUUGAAGUUUUGGUAAAAUUGCCACUGUUAUGCAUUUACUUCAACAUUUGUUUAUUCUUGCAGGUCCUCUCGCGGUACACUGAGGAAGAUCACCGAACCAAACAUGAAGUGCUUAGUAUUUGCUGCCGUUAUACUUUGCUGUUAUGUGGCGUGUGGCGCAGCGCCCCACAAUUUAAAAAACCCGAAGACUGGAGUUGUCCGCAGCCCACCACUAGAUAGACUGCAGCCGAGACAGCGCGUCAACGAAAUGGCUAGGGCUGCGCAGAAGCAUGAUAAAGAUACCGACACGAGACUGAUUAAUCUCCCAACUAACUACACAGAUAUGACGGACCUGUAUAUUUGCUGCCUACACGUCAAUAUCCUUGAAUUCUACCUGAGGAAUGUGUUGACCACAGAAGUCAAGUACCCACACCUAUCCACAGUGACAAGUGAUCUUCACAGGAUAAGCACAGACUUGAAACAGCAGGGUUGCGUAAGUAUUAUUGUAUUAUUUUUGUCAUUUUAAAAUAUUCUACCUGUUUGCCACAACCAGAAAACGGCUGUUAAAAAGCACUAGCAUAGCAUUCAGAUUAAGAAACAGGCGGACAGGUGCAGCUGAAAAAAAUAAUAUUUAGUUCAGGGUUUCGCACUGUAGAGGUACAGCAGUGUAAGAUGAGCUGAUAGCUCUAAAAUCUCCAGUGACUGGUAGCUGAUAACAUAAAAAGUGAUGCCAACUGGCAGAGAUAAGCAAACCACAAAUCUAGAAAGAAAGCGUUAUCAUGCCCUUUAAGAUCUGUAUCUGAAAGAGAACAAGAGGUUGUACUGUACAUGACACAAGGUGGCUCUGUAGAGGCGGCACGGUAGCGCAGUUUUAGCAUUACCAUGUCGCAGCGCUAAAGACCCUGCUUGGAGUUUGUAUCUUCUCCCCUUGUUCAAGUGGGUUUCCUUCGGGAGCCCCGAUUUCCCUCCACAGUCCAAACACAUACUGGUAGAUUAAAUCCCUUCUGGGAAAACUGGUCCUGGUGUGUGUGUGUGUGCCCUGCGAUGGACUGGCAUCCUCUCUAGGGUGUAUCCCAGCUCUCCUUUGACCCAGUACUGAAUAAAGCAAUUAGAAAGUGUAUGGAUUAGGGGCUAGUUCUGUAUUUUUUUGCUUAUCGAAACGUUUUAUUAUUUUCUAGGUGGUUAAACAUGUGGAGAAUCAUAAGCAUAUCCAGACUUUCAAAGAGACGUUCUUCAAGGUAAGCGCAGUGAAAGUCGCCUCAUCGUUUGUAUUACAGUUCUGUCUAAGAAGGAAGCACCCCAGACAACGUUGUGGUGUUUGUCAAGAGCAUGCAGCAUUGCAAUUGUUUGCAAAGCAUCCGCUCUUCGGCGGCAUGAAGUCAAAGCCACAAAAGAGCAAUAUGAAAAUCGAGAGACAGAUGCGUCUCUAGUAGCUUUGGCAUUUGGCAAAAAUAAUUAAUAUGCAUAUCCGCGAUUCGUUUAUGCUAUCUAACCGAACUACAGCUCUUCUAAUAUCACGUAUGUCAGGGAUAUGGAGAGUGAGGUUGUAUGGUAAUUUUAAAAACUCUCUUACAGCUUGGAAACAAGGGAGAGAACAAGGCAAUUGGAGAAAUUGACAUUCUGUUUGAAUACCUCUCGAGAUUCUGCAAAGAAAAGGACUAAAUGAAGAAGAUAUGUACUGUAUACUCUCCUUACUGGUUUUGAGGAAAUUGUUGUUAAAUUUAUUGUUACGGGCAAUAUAAAUGUAUCAGCAUACGCAGCUGACUUAUCUGCAUAUAACUGAAAAUUCUAGCAAUGAAUCGCAGAUUUUUUUAAAAAAAAUACAUUUUUUUAAUGAGUAGUAAACCAUGGUUUUAUUUUUUAACUUUUAAGAACCAAAAUAUAAUAGUGGGCUUAUUUUCCCUUCUGUUUUAAUUUUAGUUUAAAAAUAUAUAGCUUUGAAAGGCAGUUGAAUUCACAUGAUUAGAAUUAGUACUGUAUUACCCUUUCAGUGUUUACAUGUAUUUCCUUUGAAGCUAUUUAUUUUUAAGCAUGAGUAAAUGCAUUAUAAAAGCAUUGUUGAAAACAUAUUUAUGCUGUCCAUACAUAGAGGUAUUUAUUUCUAUUAAUUUAUUCUAAGAAAUUUAAAGGUAUCCUGUAUUUAUUAUCUUUUUGUUAUUAUUAAUGAUAUUAUUACUGAUGUUGUUAUUGAUAUUUAUUACUGUUUUAUUUUAUUUGUUUGUAUGGAGCUGCUUUUAUAACAAUACUGAAAUCAGUGCUGUAGGAAUUGUAUUAGAAAGUGCUGAUGAUGAAAUAAUUCCAAUUAGGGAAAAUUGAUUCUGUAUGAUCUUAGGAAGGUUUCUACUUAAUUGAAAUAAAAAUCAUCUGAAUUUCACCUGUACUGAAUGUGCAGAUUUUUUUUUCCAUUUGGUCUGAGACACAUAAGAGUCAAAUACAGACAUGGUCGGCAUCCUGGACUGUUAGCAAAAGUGGGCUACAUUGUGAUUUUACAAGUACUUUGGUAAUUGAAGAGUUGCAUACAUUUUCCAUUUUCAGUAGGUUCGGUUCAUUAGGAGUUUUUCUGGUUUGUGUGUGGAGAAAGGGUGAUUAUGAGUUUGCACUUUGGAAUUCUUGGGGAGAAUAUACAGUAAGAUAUCUAAUACAGUCAUAUAUAUCUGUAUAUACCCUUCAAUUCUAUGGUUUUACUGUACAUACAAUGUUAAAACAUAUCUGACCUUCAUCUACUGUAGUCCUCACCAAGUCCCAACAGUAGAUAAAUCUAACCUCAAGUGACGAAUAACACGCACACAUUUUGCUUUGUCAUUGUUAAUUGUACAAAAUCCAAAAAAAGCCAAAAUUCAGCAGCCUUGUAUAAAAAAAGCAAGUGCACCCUUACUACUUCCAUAUCAGUUAAG
ensembl:lincRNA